CAUUCUGCCCAAAAUGGUAUCCCACAUGCACUUGGGGUCCCCCCACUCCUCGCUUUCUUUUUAUCAAAUCUUUGCUUCCAAUUUUUAUUGUAUUCGCAGCAUGUGCUUAAAUAUUUGGGUGUAAAACGACCUCAAAUAAUCCGGCAAACAACCCACGCCGAGGCUGUCACUUUGUCUCAUGCUUUGGCCUUCCCACCUCCCUCUGAUCCUCUCAUCAAUGCCCCUCAUUGCUUUGUCUUCUUUGCUCCACACUUUACUUUAGCAAGGUAAAACAACAACCAAGAUCUGGGAAGUUGUAGAACCAAUAGUAUGCUUGAUUUUCGGGUUUUAAAAUUAGUAUAUUAUUAUUCCCUUUAAUUAAUUAUUACAUCUUAUUUAAAAAUAAUAAUAAUCCAAUCGUUUGCAAUUGCCGUCUGGUUUUAUAGCACCGUCCUCUCUCUUUCCCUGGACUUGUUGUUGUCCCUUUUCUUAGCUACACAUAGCCCUUAAAUCCCAUAUAAAUGAAUGAAGUUUCCAAGUUAUGUGCUAUGGGUUGAUAGAGAGAGCACAGCUAAACUCAACUCAACUAUUUGCAGCAGCAUGUUUCUGCAGUGUGCAGCAGUCGCCGGUCAGCCAUGAUUGAACUUUCACUUUCAGAUGACAGCUUCUUUAUUCAGCCCUGGUCUAUUCAUAAGGUAUUUGAAUGAAAAAAAAAAAAAAGAGUGAAAGGAUGAGGUUUGUAAUCUAAACUGAUCUGCCUGGCUCCCUGCAUGCCAACUAUGGAUGCUGUCAAAAAUGGAUUGGCCCUACCUAGUUGGCAUCAGAGGAGUCAAGCAGGUCCUUAUGUAAUGUAUAUAUCGUUUCUUCUUUUAAGUUUUGUGAUUUGGUUGCAAACUCUGACAAUCCAGUGGAGGUACAAGUUCAUCUGAAGUAGGGCAAAACUUGUCCGAAGGAAGCCCAAUUAACAAAGGCCCAUGCAAUAAACAGUACCCUUUUUUCUUUUUUGUACUUGUUUUUAUUUUAUUUUAUCAAAGGAUGUGGUUGACAAUAAUUUUUUGUUUAAGGUGAGAGAUAAUGAUAUCACUUAAAUGUUAAAAA